GGAUGAGUUUGUCCUGAAGAAAUAUAAAACCUCCCAAAAGGGGUUUUUCAGACUUCUUCCAGCUGUGAGGAACUGCAGAAAGGCAAUAAUUGAAGGCGUUUAUCUGGAUAGAUGGUACUGUGCAACGUUGGCCUCUGCUCUCCAGUUACCAAACUCACCAUUGAGAGAACUGCACCUGAUAGAUUCAACCUGGCUGGAUUCAGAAGUGGAUGUGCUCUGUACUGGACUGUCUAGCCGAGACUGUAAACUGGAAGCACUGAGGUAAUUGAAGAGAUUUUUUAUUU